UACGUAGGCAGCAAGCGUUGUUCGGAGUUACUGGGCGUAAAGGGUGUGUAGGCGGUCUACUAAGUCUGGUGUGAAAUCUCCCGGCUCAACUGGGAGGGUGCGCCGGAAACUGGAAGGCUAGAGUGCGGGAUGGGAGAGUGGAAUUCCUGGUGUAGCGGUGAAAUGCGUAGAUAUCAGGAGGAACACCGGUGGCGAAGGCGCCUAUCUGGCCCGAUACUGACGCUGAGGCGCGAAAGCUAGGGGAGCAAACGGG
rnacentral:rRNA from 1 species